GGUUCUUGGCCUUUUCCUAUCAUGUAUUUUUUCUUAUCUACAGUACUCCAUUAUUCAUCUGCUGUCCUUAUUGCUGGGUCAGAGGCUAACAUGCUUUUUCUCUCAUUUGUUAACUCUCAAAUGUUGUUUCUCUAUCACAGCAGAUCUCUGAGCCUCCCACAUGAUGAUUUCAAUUAUGUUAAUAAUUCUAAUGGGAUUUGCA
rnacentral:lncRNA from 1 species